UUUAAUGAUUAUGAAACCGGUGAACAACUAUGUACAGGAACAAAUUAUGAGUACUUCUUGUAGAACGUAGAUAUAUUCUAUCUAGGAUAACUAGGUGCAUUUUGUGGGGACAUCCAGUCUAUGUUGUACUUAGUUUUCAUAAUUUAUAUGAGGGGGUAUGUGAAAAUCAAAUCAAUAAGGAAAGAAAAACAUCACAAACAAUAUCUUCAACUCUGAAAAUAAGCACAUACUUUUGUUCAUGCAAAUAAACCCAUCUGUCAAGAGGCUUGUCCAGGGACCUCACAACAACCACAUGCCUCGAUUGCUAUUAUCCUAUUAUCUGUAUUAUUUAUGAUCAGCACUGAGGCUGCUGAACGCAGUAGUACUACCAGACUUGUGGACGUGUGGCGAUCGAUGGAGGGCUGAGAGCUGAUAGGAGGAUGGGUGUGUUCAUUGAGCCAUGUGGUUUCUCUGCCUAGCCUCGGAGCUCUCUGAGGGCAGACGCUAGCGCCACAGCCCGCCAGACACACCACACACUGAGAGCCUGUCGGAUUUCAGAAUUGUUCACCUGACUCUGUGUGUGAUGACAACUCCUUCCAGCAUGUCUGCAAAGGAUCUUGACUGCUUUGAGCUGGAGAAGAAUACAGGUCCUAAUGCUGAAGAGGACCAGUCAUUCAGAGCCGUGGCCCGGCCGCUGGCCAAUGGCGUGCGUCGGCUGAGCACCAUCUCGGAGCAGGAGCUGGUGCUCAGUCCCCAGGGGGGCAGGGGUGACGCGUGGGGCAGGUCCAGCCUCUCCCUGGCCUCCGACCGGAGGUACCGCAGCAGCACCAGCUGCCUCUCCACCGAUGACUCGUACCAGCCGGCCCCCGGAGACUACUGUGCAGCCAUGGUCCUCUCCUGCCUGCACUGUCGUUUCCGUGAGCUGGCGUGGGCCCUGCCGGAGGUGUGCAGCAUGGCCCUGCAGCGCCUCUUCCCCUCCUGCACGCACACGGAGCUGACCGGGGGCGAGGCGGACCCGCCGGGCCGCGACUGGUGUGGCUGCACGGCGCUGGAGCUGGACUGCAGCGGCUGCCACUCCUGCCAGGACGCGGCGGAGCUGCUGGAGUUGGCCAUGGAGAUAUCAGAGGUCUGCUACCGCUGAGGAAACCCGCACGGGGAUAAGACCACCUUUGGGGUCCCGGUCGGGACGUUUUGUCCUGGACUCUGUCCUGCAGCGCCAAAGAAGAUAGAAUUGGACAUGCAGCGUUGUUGAAAACACCCGCAUCCCAACCACACACAUAGCGCUCAUAUUCCCACACAGACUUAAAGGGGGUCCACUCCUGCCCUAGAUUAUUGUCAUUAACCACGCGUGUUUCUUGAUUACAUUGUGUGAUAAUGGCAUGGGUAUGAUGGAAGAGAAGGCAUGCUAGAUGCUCUAAAUUCGAUACACCUGCCCUUUUUGGAAUACUUCCCAGCCUAAAUAAAGCACAUAACUGUGUUUAAACCAUGUGACAUUAAUAGUCUGUUGAUAUGAAACACAAGUUGAUGUUCAUGUCGGGU
ensembl:lncRNA